rnacentral:rRNA from 1 species
GAUGAACGCUAGCGGCAGGCCUAACACAUGCAAGGUCGAGGGGCAUCGCGGUGCAGCAAUGCACUGGCGGCGACCGGCGUACGGGUGCGUAACGCGUAUGCAACCUGCCCCGCACCGGGGGAUAGCCCGCCGAAAGGCGGAUUAAUACCCCAUGGUCCCGGGGGCCCGCAUGGGCAUCCGGGUAAAGCCUUGGCGGUGCGGGAUGGGCAUGCGUGCCAUUAGCUGGCUGGUGGGGUAACGGCCCACCAGGGCAACGAUGGCUAGGGGGUCUGAGAGGAUGGUCCCCCACACUGGUACUGAGACACGGACCAGACUCCUACGGGAGGCAGCAGUGAGGAAUAUUGGUCAAUGGGCGGAAGCCUGAACCAGCCAUGCCGCGUGCGGGAUGAAGGCCCUACGGGUUGUAAACCGCUUUUCCCCGGGAAGAAUAACCCCGAUGAGUCGGGGGAUGCCGGUACCGGGGGAAUAAGGAUCGGCUAACUCCGUG